rnacentral:rRNA from 1 species
AUGCACCAGCUUCCUAACCUUGUUGCAAACAUAUCAAUGAUCACAUAUUGGCAUAUCGCCUACACUUGUUCAUCUCUGAAGGUUUGCUGCUUGCUACAGCUUCAAAAUUAUUUGGAAUGUCAUCUCACACAAGCAUGUGUGAUCAAAUUCAGUGAGGAAUCACAUGAUAGGUUGCAAUCUUAUGAAAUAAGACCAGCUCAGUUCUUUAACAUGAUCAGAGCUUCCAUUUUCCUAAAGUUGCACUUUCUCAGCUUCGCCACUUUGAACUGCCACAAAUUCAGCGAGGAAUCGCAUGAUAGGUUAAAAUGUUAUGAGUUAAGACCCGCCCAGUUCUUGAAUGCGAUCAGAGCUUCCAUUUUCCUAAAGUUGCGUUUUCUCAGCUUCGCCACUUUUAGCUUCUUGUGGGUUUCCAUGAAGGCUUGUUUGUGCCUCCACUUAUCUACAAAUAUUUUCAACUCUUGUGCCUUCUCAAUCACCUGCAUUGCCAUAUCAAAAAAUCCACCCUUGACCAAAGCAUGCAGAAAGGCAUCAAUCAACUCGUGGUUAAAAUCAGCCCCCUUCCUCCUCACUUCUGUCCAUAGUAUGAGCACAUUAAAGUACUUCUCUGCUGAGAGAUACCCAUUGAUAAGUGAGAGGUAUGUCUGA